ensembl:rRNA 5S_rRNA 5S ribosomal RNA
GCCAGCAGCCAUAUUACCCUGCAGCCCAAGAUUGGUUGCCCACUGAAGCUAAGCAGGGUUGAGCCUGGUCAGUACCUGGAUGGGAGACCACCUGGGAAAACUAGGUUGCUGCUGGAA